rnacentral:misc_RNA from 1 species
UGUGGAACAGCUUCGUACUGUUCUGUGUUUUUGUUUUCAGCUGUUAGCUGUAGUUCUCUUUUAUCUUCUUGGUGGUUUUUGUGUUGCUGGUGCCUGCGCGGUGCUAUUGAUUGAAACCUGCGCGACACACUCGCUCUUGCUUCUCCACCUUAUUCCACGCACCAUCUUCACAGCGGAGCAGAGGGGUUGCACCUGCGGCGUGUGUUGAGGCGCGUGCCUCGGGCUGCUCAUCUCUCUUAGCACCAGCGGAAAGUAGCGAGACACGCACGCAUAUAUAUUCGAACCUGUUGCGUCUUUGCCUGCAAAACAGACGCGACACGCCGGACUUCCACUAAAGUUGUAUCGCACACGCGCGCUACCGCGCCAUCGCUUCCGCGAAAUCACUAACGCUUAUUUAUCUUUUUGAUCUGUCUUCAAGCGGGCCACUCUCAGCUAGCCUACAGUGCCUGCGUGUGGAGCGAAGCCAACAACCGGCACGCACGACCACAGCCGAGCAUAAAACGAACGAACGAGCGACGCACCGGCGCUCAACGGUUAAGGCUUAACCAAGCUGAGAGGCACCUUGCAUAUCGCAAGUGUUCUCCCUGCGCACGUGCUUGUGCUUGGUUUGUAGUUUGUGCGCACUUUUGUGAGUCGAAGUAGGAACAUAUCUAACGGAGGGAGACGGCAGACUUCUUGGUCUUCUCACAUCCCCACCUUCAUUCCCCUUGCGUGGGCACCUUUGCCACACGUUUGUUUGCUCGGUGUGAAGGCUUUCUCUUGUGACUCUCUCUCUCCGACUCCUCUCCGUGCUGGCGUGCCCGCGAGGCAUCCCCAUAUUUAUGGUCUGUGCCCUUGUCUGUCUCUGGGUCUGUGUUUGUGUGAGUGUGUGUGUGUGCUGUCUCUCCCUCUCUUUCACAUCUCUCUUUUUCUCAGCGUUGGUGUUGAACGGAGAGGAAAAGAAAAACGGAAAUCGAAGGGCAGAAACGCACGAAGAAGGCGCUCAGUGCGGCCACCCUCUUGCUGUCCCUGUCUGAGCGCGUUGUAUGGGCGGCGCACCUUUUUUUUUGUUAUGAUUCUUAUCUUGAUGUCCGCGUUGUAUUGUUGGUAGUUGUGUCGUUGCCCUCUUUUAUUUUUCCUCUGUUUUAUUCCACGUAGUCGCUCUCCUCCUUCCUUGCUUGUUGUGAGUCGACCAGAUACUUGGGUUCUCUCUGUACUUCGGCUGUUUGUUAGGGGUUGGGUGAGGCGUCUGUCUUGGCACCUUUAUUCUUUCUUUUGUGGGGUUUUUGGUAGCUCAUUGGUGCCUGCUCUUUCUUUAGUGUUGGCGGUUUUCUUUUUCUUGUGUGUGCGCGCGCGUAUAAAUGCCUAAAAGGAAUCGGCCAGCCCUCCCCCCUCGUCUUCUCGUACACCAUCCUUCACCCCCUCACCCUCCUCCCUCCACACGCCCGCCCCUUGAGGGGCCGCCCGUUUUCAUUUGAGGUGACUACCGAAAAGGAUACAACCGAAAAUGCCGCGUCACUCGACAUCGCUGCACCAUUCAGCCAUCAUGACAGUGAUGGCUGUGGCACUGCUCUCGAUGGCCUCCACGGCGCGCGGGCAUGGCGCUGACUCAGCCACCCCUCUUCUCUGUGACAACGAUGCCACCCUCUACACCACCGGCCCCGACGGCACAGCUCUUGGCAUCCUCCUAUACGAGGGUGUCGUCCCGUGCGCCUCCAACGAGACCAUCUUCAUCACGAUCGCGAAAGAUCCUUCGCCUCCUAACGCCGUGGUGGCCUUGAGUGAAUGGAGCUUCCUGGUGAGCAUCAACAGCCGCGCGCCGGCAACUUUUACACUGUAUGCGAUGUGCGGCAACACGGUCAAGUGCCAGUCGACCCUCACCUACGCUCUGUCGCAGACGAUGGCGUCGUCUUCCUCCUCGGAUGUGUUACCGCUGUCAUCGCUGUCUUCCAGCUCAGCAGAUAGUGUACUGCCCAACACCACGUACCCACUGUGCUCGCACGCAUCCAAGGCGCGCAGCUACUCGGUUGGCGAGGUAUACCAUGACAACUUCCCGAUGGAUAUACAGGAUGGAAGCUGCGUCUACACGACACGCAUCACCGGUGAGUCGACUGUCGGCACCGUGGUGGUGGCCACUUCGGGACUUUCCUACACCUUCUCCAGCUCCAAAACCGCCGCAGUCGGCUACCACAUCUUGCUGGGCUACAUCGUGCGGUGCAAUGGCAUUACUGUGUGUGCUGACACGGUGGACGUGGUGCUAGAGCCUGCGUCGGUCACGACAGCUCCACCGACAUCGACCCCUGCCCCAACACCGGCGCCGCCAGAAACGCUGCCUUGGUGCUCGCACCGAACCUACGCCAACACCUACCGCAUUGGCGAGGUGUACUUCGGUGAUCUGUUGCUGGACGUGAAGGACACUGAGUGCAGGUACACGGCAACUAUCGAGGAUCCGUCUGUGGGCACGGCCGUCGUCGCGGAGCCGUCAGACCCCCUGGGCUAUGUCUACUCCACCAGUGACGACACGGUGCCACAGAACACGAGCAUCCCGUACACCAUCGCGUGCAACGGCGUAAGCAUUUGCCACGGUUUAGUAGUAAUUCACUUGACGUACGACCCCCCGGCCUGCCCAAACACCGUCGUCACCUACCUUUUGGAGCCUGGCGGCUCCGUGACGGGUACGAUGAGCAGCGGCACCGUGUGCAGCUCCGGUGCGACCCCAUCGCCCUCGAUCCUGUCUCCCGUGCCGGGGUUCUUCCUCGAUGCUAGUGGCGAUUUCGUCUUCUACGCUACCGACGACGAGGCGGAGGUGGUGGCAAUGGUGCUGAUGAAGUGCAAUGAGGAGGUUCUGUGCCAGAUUAAGGUCAUGUUUCUCGUUGCCUACCCAACCACGGCGCCCCCGACGACGUCGACGACAACGACCGCGGCGCCGAUCGUGAUGUGCCCCAAGCUUUUCCGGUACGAAGUGCCGACUGGGCAGUCGAUAAGCGACACCAUCGACCCCGUCACCACCUCCUCGUGCAACUUCACCACGUACCUGCUCGUGAACAGCAGCAGCGACAUCAGCGGCUCUCUGCUGCUGAACCUGCUGGGGGAGUUCUACUACAAGGCGCCAAAGUCGCAGGCGGUAGACUACGCCGCCGUCGACGUGUACUGCGCCAAGGCGUUCGUGUGCCGUACACAGCUGGUGUUCGUCGCCUACACCCCACUCCCCACCACCUCCACGACCAUGCCGCCGCUGCCGCCGUGCGCGAAUGUGUACUACUACCAGACAAGCCCCGGCGUGGCCAUCAACGCGUCUCUGAACAACAUGCCCGGACAAGAUAUGUGUGCGCACGGCCGCUACUUCACACUCAACACCUCCCCGCAGGCGGGGAGUGUCAAUGUGUCGCUGAUUGGAGACUUUGUUUACUUACCGCCGAAAUACGAGGGCCAGUUUUCCUUCAUGUUCACCAUGCACUGCAUGAACCAGCAAUACUGCACCGGCACGGCCUACCUCCUUGUGUCAAAUGAAUGGACACUACGCCCGGCGCCGACAGAUUCGCCAGUCAAACCGGACAGCAAUGCCAGCAUCACCAACGAGCAGAUCACCUGCCACGGCACGUGUAACGCAAGCGCCUGGAAGACGUACCCGAACAGGAAGGUGUGGGACAUCACACCUGGCGCCGGUUACGCGCGCAAGGAUGGCCGCACAGUCAACGACAUGAAAGUGACGUGGCGCAACAAAUCGCUCGUCGUCCUCGUCUACAGUCUGAUUGGCAACCUCGGCGUGCGCUUCCCCACCUUCGAGCCUAUUACAACGUCCCAGAGGGCGUACAUGGAGCCAAAGGACUUUGCCGGCAGCGUUGCCCCUGGCUCUCCUGGUUUUGAGAUGAGCUGCCUGGCUAACCAAGGUCGUACCGGCAUGGGCGAGGAUGUGUGGAAGUGGUUUAGUCUGACUCUCGACUCCGGCACCGGCGGCGUUGGCGCCUACUACAACUCCGGCCAGUCCUGGUACCAGAAGUUUGGCGGCAAGCACGUGAACUGCGACAUCUUCACCGACCCGUGCCGCUACGCGCCGCUGCUGACGCCGGCGAACUACACGAACACUUCCCUUGUCCGCUGGACAGUCGACGUGGACGACUGCGACGCCACGUGGACAGGCGUAUUCGCGCAGAGUUCGAUGGGGAAAAUGGUGAAAUAUGAUGGGUCUCCGGUGUGGUCGUUUGUCGGGAAACUCCAGCUGCAGGGCACGCUCUACUCCGAGGCCGUGCAGGCGAGGUCGUGGCUCGAGCCCGGCCAGUUCGACGCGCUCUACAGUAGCCACAACAUCCUCAUCAACCUGCAUCAAUUUGUCGCCGUGAGAAAGACGGGCAUGCAGGAUCCCCUCAUCUCCGUUGAUGCCGAGUUCUUCACGUACCUGGACGACGAGACGCAGGACCAGGCGUUCGGCAUCAACAUGCUCGUCUACCCCUUCGUGGACUCGUACAUGACCACCAGCUACGCCCGCGACCGCCACGUGAAAGGCUUCAAGUGGAUAUUACAGGACUGGAUAUCGCCCAGCGACGAGCACUGCCCGACGUGCACCGGCUCCAAGAUGAAGUGUGUGGCGCCGCUGCAGGGGGUCGACGUCUCCUACACGGGCCCUAGCUUCCCGGAGGGGGACUGCGCCGAUGGCGAGGGCCGUGUGCACCUAUUCAAGGGGCCUGCCACGAUGCCGAGCGACUGCCCAGAUAGCAAGAUGCACGUCUUCAACCAGACCGGGUUCUCCCCGACGCGGAACUGCAAUACGGCGUACCAGAACGUGACGCUGCGUGGCAUCGUGCCGGGCAGCAGCGGCCUCAACGAGACCCUCUCGCGCGCCUUCCAUUACGAGGGCACGGUGCAGCUUGUGCUGCUCAUGGACGAUCACAGUUACAAGCGACUGGACCUGCAUCUGUCCAUGUACGUCUCCCGUCUCUCAAAGGAUUCUCCGCGCAUGAGGGGUGGGCUCAGCACGUGCCGCAGCGGCAGCUACUGGCCGGUGCUCGACCCGCUCGGCUCGUCGCUGGCGUCGAGCCCGUUCCCCCUGAGCGUCGCAGCGGUGACGCCGUUGUGCAUUGACGACCUCAGCUCCUCGUACGGUCCGAACGAUUGGGCCCUCUUUGCCGUCAACAUGCCCGGCGUUAAGCCGAGCGAGGUGACGGUGCGCAGCGUGUACGUGCAGCACAACAACUCGCGUAUCUAUCUCAUCUACAAGGACCCGAGAAGUGGUGCGGCUUCGAUCCCGAACAGCGACGCUGACGGUGACUGGUGGCAGUACAAGUACCCCUUCCUCGCCUUCCGUGACUUGGAGGCCCACGUGAAGAACAACAGCAUCACCUACAGCACGCUUAUGGAGUCGUCCGCGGCGGCGGCGGAUGUAGUGUACGCCUUUACCUUCAUCCCUGGCGCGCUAGGGGUGGACACAGACAUCGAGGUGGUGGUCGAGGCCCUCAUCCAGCCUAGUGCGGCGGCGGAAAGCACGACGGAGUUCCGCCGUGUGUUGCACAUCGACCCGCUGCUGACGCAGCUCAGCCGCCAGGGCCCGCCGCCACCAUAUUCCUCGUCGAAGCGUGAGCAGAACAGGACGAACUUUUACGCCAUGGGCGCCACCGCCGGUGUGGCUGUCGCCCUGGUGGUGACUGUCAUCUUCUUCAUGUUAGCGGACAACAGCCGCCCUUUGCCCAAGUGGGUGCCGCGCGGCAAACUCAUCAAGGAGACGGUGCUGUCGGUGCUGCCGGCUGGCUUGCGUGGGAAGAAAAAGCCGAAGCGCACGGUUCACAAGGAUAUGUACGAUGCCAUGAGCUCCGGCGCGUACUGAACGUGAGUGAAAGAACGAAACGUAAGUACUCACGUGCGUAUGACGUUGGAAGCUGCGUUAGGUAGCUGAUCGCGGCGAAUAGGCAGUGUGCGCGUAACCCCGUGCAGCUGCUAGCGGAGCGGGCUCAUCGAUCGCGGUCGCGGCGACUCGUGUAGCAACGAUGCAUCGGUGGGAAUGAGGUGGGGGAGAGAAAGUGCAGCAACAGAGCUGAGAAAAGGCGUGCGGCAUCUGAUCGCCUCCCUGUGAAUCGGCUUCUUUGAUAUGUGAUGGUGUGUAGUGCGUCGAGAGUGAGUGACGUGUGUGUGUGUGUGUGUGCUUGUUUUUGUGAAGGCUGCGAGUGGAUAUACUCGCGCGUUGCGAGCGCUGCAGCAGGUCCAUCGCGGAGAUGGCUCACCUUCUCUCCCUGUGUGCUUGUGUGUAUCUCACAGCCCUCUCUCUCAUUGCCUUACGUCCCCCUCCCCCGUACCUUUGGAAGAGGGGGGCGUUUGGCAUUUUGUUAGCGGCCGUUGCCUCCAUUGUGUAUGUGCGCGUGUGCUUGUGUGUAUCUCUCGAGGAUCGAGUCGGCAACAACGCAUGCCUUCGUUAGACGAGGCGUACUUUGCAUGCCCAUCUCCCUCUCUCUGUUUUUUUUUUUAGGUCGUUGUGUGCGCGUGUGUGAGCACUGUAUGCGUAUCACCGAUCUAUCAAUGAAGCGACGAAAGCAGUAGCAAGAAGGCGCACGCGAGCCGACAACAAAAGCGAUGGAUAGCGAAGCGCAGAGCGAAAGAGGGUGAGAGAGAGAGCAAAAUACCAGAGUAAGAUGGCACCGCACUAAUCACAGC